AAAGAGAGGGUGCAACGAAUUAAGCAAUCGCUGAGGGCAAUAGAGACUAACAAGCUCUUAUAUAGAGUUCAAAGAAGCAUACAUUUCUUUACUCGGGAGACUCACAUUGUUAUGCCAGUUGUUGAAGUUGAAGAAUUUAUCGUUGCUCGCGGAAGUGAUCUUGAUGCGGAAACCAAGGUCGGUCUGGGUGGAAUUGGCAAGGAUGCAAUGCUUCCUUGCAACAUUUCUACAACUUUACCCAUUGAAGGACGGUUUGAGGGAUUCGUUUGUAUGCACCACAAACUCACUAGGAUCAUUUUUCUUGCUAUUUGAUUUUCCUCUUCAUCGUUGAUCCCAAAUAGUCCAAUCUUUUCACCUUGUUCAAGACUCUUG
rnacentral:misc_RNA from 1 species